rnacentral:rRNA from 1 species
UGGGGAAUUUUACACAAUGGGGGAAACCCUGAUGUAGCGACACCGCGUGAACGAAGAAGCCUUUUGGGGUGUAAAGUUCUGUCGGCUGGAACGAAAAAAUGACGGUACCAGCAAAGGAAGCAUCGGCUAACUACGUGCCAGCAGCCGCGGUAAGACGUAGGAUGCAAGCGUUGUCCGGAUUUAUUGGGCGUAAAGAGUUCGUAGGCGGUUAUUUAAGUCUGAUGUUAAAUACUGUGGCCCAACCACAGAACUGCAUUGGAUACUGGAUGACUUGAGUGCGGUAGAGGCAAGUGGAAUUCCCAGUGUAGCGGUGAAAUGCGUAGAUAUUCGGAGGAACACCAGUGGCGAAGGCGACUCGCUGGCAUCUUGCUGACGCUGAGACGCGAAAGCGUGGGGAGCAAACAGGAUUAGAUACCCACGUAGUCCCUGAGCGGGCUGGCAAGGCGCAU